rnacentral:rRNA from 1 species
UACAUGGGGUGCAAACGUUGCUCGGAAUUAUUGGGCGUAAAGCGCACGUAGGCGGUUUGUUAAGUCGGAUGUGAAAUCCCUCGGCUCAACUGAGGAAGUGCAUCCGAAACUGGCAGGCUUGAGUACUAAAGAGGGUCGCGGAAUUCCCGGUGUAGAGGUGAAAUUCGUAGAUAUCGGGAGGAACACCGGCGGCGAAGGCGGCGACCUGGGUAGAUACUGACGCUGAGGUGCGAAAGCGUGGGGAGCGAACAGG